AGAGUUUGAUCCUGGCUCAGGGUAAACGCUGGCGGCGUGCCUAAAACAUGCAAGUCGAACGCACCCCUUCGGGGGUGAGUGGCAGACGGCUGAGUAACGCGUGGGUGACGUACCGAUUGGUGGGGAAUAACUGCCCGAAAGGGUGGCUAAGUCCGCAUACGCCUGUUGAUGCGUUUCGACAGGGAAAGUCGCAAGACGCCGAUGGAGCGGCCCGCGUCCGAUUAGCCAGUUGGUGGGGUAACGGCCUACCAAAGCGACGAUCGGUAGCUGGUCUCAGAGGAUGAUCAGCCAGACUGGGACUGAGACACGGCCCAGACUCCUACGGGAGGCAGCAGUUAGGAAUUUUGGGCAAUGGGCGCAAGCCUGACCCAGCAACGCCGCGUGGGUGACGAAGGCCUUCGGGUUGUAAAGCCCUUUUUGAGGGGAAGAUGAUGACGGUACCCUCCGAAGAAGCACCGGCUAACUACGUGCCAGCAGCCGCGGUAAUACGUAGGGUGCGAGCGUUGCCCGGAUUUAUUGGGCGUAAAGGGCGCGUAGGCGGCUCGGCACGUCCGUUGUGAAAUCGCCCGGCUCAACUGGGCGGGGUCAGCGGAUACGGUCGAGCUUGAGCAAGCUAGGGGGCAAUGGAAUUCCCGGUGUAGUGGUGGAAUGCGUAGAUAUCGGGAGGAACCCAGUGGCGAAGGCGGUUGCCUGGAGCUUUGCUGACGCUGAGGCGCGAAAGCGUGGGGAGCGAUCCGGAUUAGAUACCCCCGUAGUCC
rnacentral:rRNA from 1 species